GUUACGGAUGGUUAUGAGCCACCAUGUGGUUGCUGGGAAUUGAACUCAGGACCUUUGGAAGUGCUCUUAACUGCUGAGCC
ensembl:miRNA Gm27656 predicted gene, 27656